GUGUUGCCAAUUAUUCAGAUUUACCCAUUCGCGACUACGAAGGUGCUGAUAAAUAUUUGUUUGGUUUUUGCAUGAGAAAAAGAAGGAAGGAAAUAUUUUUGCUUUUGUCAUCACACACAUUUUGACCAGAGUCUAUAAUAAGAGUCCCGCAAAGAUGAAACCAAGGAACCAAAUCAGUGUCAAACGAGGGUACCAAUCGAGCAAUGUAAAUAAACAAGGUGAUAAUGUUAGGAGUGGAUGAAAAGUGUUGUAAUUGAGCGUAAUAAAGAAUAUGUGUUUUUUCCGAAGUUUUACUAACACAUUUCAAUCCAAUAUUAAACCUGCACACUGGUUCACUUAAAUUUAACAAAACAUCACCGGUGUAAUCUUACAAAACUGUGUACCUUGUGAAGAAUUUCAAAAAAUUAUAUUCGCUUAUGCAUGGUGAAAAACAGAACUGUAUAGUUCUUGGCAACAAACGGCACAAAAACUGUUUUGCCGGAACGAUAGAUUUUCUCUUCGCGCGACUCUAUACACAUGGACUCUGAUUUUGACAAUUGCAUAUGAGAGUUCGCCUAGGUGCGAACAGCCUUAAAAAUCUCUUCCAACUUCGUAGUCGCGAAUACUGACGUGAGCAUAGAGUUUUGCAUAUUACGAACACGCAUUCUAGUAACCGACAGGAACUUAUAUCACAAUAGAUCAAAAUGUCUCUGGUCGCAGUGAUGAGUCCCACAGAGGAAAAACCGACAGGAACAGCGGAGCUUGAUAGUUCAGAUAAAGUACAGGCGGAACCUCAUGCGAACUAGGAAGUUCAGAAAAGGCUGACGCGGAACUUUUUCUGAACUUUCAAGUUCAAAAGAAUUUGCUGCAGUUCGUUGGUAAUGUAAUUGAAAAAGGUUGUGUACGCAAUAUUUUUCUUCCAAACGUUAACUGAAAUUUUAUUCUGAUAUGCUGUGUGCCGCAGUCGAAACGACGAACGCCUUGGAACACGCAACUCUCGGUGGUGUCCGAGAAAUGGAUUCGGACCUCAAAAACCGACAACAUCAUGCUGUGGCCUGUGGCCUAAAUAAAAAACACCCAAGAUUUGGGCAAAUUGCUCAUGGAUGAAAGCAUCACGCACAGCAAAUGUCUAACAGGAAUUCACAGCUUACAUCCGGUUUAUUUUUUCUUUUGACCUGCAACUUCAUGAGUAUCUAAAUUCAUAAUUGAUUUCCUGUAAGGUAACAAAAUAAUGUGUUUAAAUAGAGAAACCUUUAA